UCAAUUCCAUAAUUGUUUGUACCGAAGUCGUAACAACGAAUAAGUAAAGAAUUUUCGGGGAGACGAAAUAUCUUUUCUUAGCUGACGAACGAGAACGGUAAACAACAGACCGAUCGAAUAGUUACAAGUAAUUUCUAUCGAUCGGCAACGUAACAUGACUCGAAUUGAGAACAAAACGAACCGUCAACUGAAACGAACCGAGAACAAAAACAAACCGAGAACAAAACGAACUGAGAACAAUAACAAACCGAGAACAAAAACGAACUGAAUGACAAUGCGUUUUAGUCCAAAUAUAACUCUGAUUCUCUGAGUAUCAUCUUGUGUGCCACUAUUUCGGAAAUAGUGCUUUAUUUAUAGGACAAGCUUUCUGACUUUCUUCGGCAAAUUACCGUUUUGCCCUUCAGGUUUA
rnacentral:sRNA from 1 species